GUGAAUCAUCGAAUCUUUGAACGCAAAUUGCACUCUCCGGUUUUCCGGGAAGUUAUGCCUGUUUGAGGGUCUGUGUAAAAAAUAAUCGAGGCUGCUGCUUUUGUGACGCUUCUGACUUGGGUCAUCUUCCACCUUUCGGAGUUGUAAUCUACCUAAAAUUUUUCUUACUAUUUCUACGAACUAGGCUAAAAGUUUUUUUUAUACGUUUGUUGCAUCAGAAUGAU
rnacentral:misc_RNA from 1 species